AACGAACGCUGGCGGCAUGCCUAACACAUGCAAGUCGAACGAGAACUCCGGGCUUUGUGGCGCACGGGGGCGUAACGCGUGGGAACUUGCCCGUAGGUUCGGUAUAACUCACUGUAAGGGGUGUUAAUACCGCUUAAUGUCAUCGCACAAAAGAUGUAUGGCUUUGGGAUGGGCGCGUGUUGGUUUAGCUGGUUGGUAGGGGAAAAGCAUAUCAAGGCGAGGAUCCUUGGCUGGUCUGAGAGGAGGACCAGCCACACUGGGACUGAGGCACGGCCCACACUCCUACGGGAGGGAGCAGUGGGGAAUAUUGGGCGAUGGGCGAUGGCCUGAUCCAGCAAUGCCGCGUAAGUGAGGAAGGCCUUAGGGUUGUGAAGCUGUUUUAGCCGAGGUGAUAAUGACGGUACCGGGUGAAUAAGCACCGGCUAACUCCGUG
rnacentral:rRNA from 1 species